UAGCUCAGUCGAUAAAGCAUGAGACUCUUAAUCUCAGCACCGUGGGUUAGAACCCUAC
rnacentral:tRNA from 1 species